rnacentral:lncRNA from 1 species
UUCUUUCAAUUCAUUCAUACUGUAAGGACAAACUUGUAAUUUUCUAUAUUUUUCUUUCCUUUACCCAUUUUCUUUCCAAGAUAUGGGAUAAAUUAUUUUGGUGGGACCAAUACAUAUUUUUUAUUUCCCUCAUAUUUUAUGUUGGAACCAAAUGAUGGAAAAUGACACUUUCCACUCCUUUUCUUUCCUCUCCUUUUCUAUAGAACCAAAGAUAGCCUAAGUGAUUCUUGGGGAUGUCUUCCCAACGUUACUUAGUUCGACCUCAGGGUGGUAAACCAUAACAUUCUUAGGGAGAAGGUCUUGCACAUGACCUGCCCUUAUGCUCCUUGAAAUAUAAUAGCAUACUCAUCGUUGGUGAUGUGUUCUUGAGGGUCGAUUAUCCCAUCAUAAUCAUAUCAGUUGAUAGGAUGUUGUAACCCCCUUGAUAUUGGGGCCUCCAUUAUCCUUCUAGUGAAUGGGUGCGACCUGUACAAAUUCUUUUCUUUUAGCCUUAUGACAUGGGUUGAUCCAGAAAGUCUCCUCCUUGCUAUCCCUUCACAGUUAGGGUGUCGAAUUAGGCUCAUGGUAAACUCUGUCUUCAUCCUUCUCAGCAUGAGGGAGUCCAAUCUAUGAGAAUUUGAGGUUCUUCCCUUUUGUGUCCUCUAAUGUAAAGUUUUCCAUUUGUAGAGGUCAAUGUGGUUCAUCCUCUAGAUGACAAGCCAAUUCCCUUACAAAUUCUAUCUUGUUGGUUGGCCCCAGUCUAGGAUGACUUCCUCCUUGGGAAAUUGAGGCCUAAAACUACCUGUAGAGGUGUCAACAUGCUGGCCAACCGAAAAAAAGAUUUUGCCAUAACUAUGAAAAUUCUAGAUUUUCAUGGUAAGGCUUGUUAGAGGCUAAUCUGCUCCUUAUAGUGAGUCGCGUUUUCUUUGAUUCUCAAGGACUUCAAGGAUGGAACAAAGCCUAGAUUGCAAGGGGCUCCAGGUUGAUCAUCCCCUUGAUAUUGGAUGAGAUUAUCCAGUGUAAUAGAUGCCUCUGCCUCAUCUCUCUCUAGACCACCAUGUUUUAUUGUGCCUCAUCAUGAUUAGGAUCAUUGGUCGUCAUGGUGGGUUGUAGGGUUUGUAAUUUUUUUUGCCUGACGUUGGACGCAAACCAAUAUUAACAAGAAACAAUAGUUUAUCCUAGAUAUGUUGAAACCUUGGUCUUACGUACCAUCAAGUGAUCAAGAUGAAUCAAAAGCUACAUAGUUCUCUCAAAAGAGAGCAAAAUAAAAAGUUUGAAUUUGGGAUCAUAUAUUUAUACUCACUAG